rnacentral:misc_RNA from 1 species
UUUCCGUAGGUGAACCUGCGGAAGGAUCAUUACAGAGUUCAUGCCCUAACGGGUAGAUCUCUCACCCUUGCAUCUUUAUACCUUAGUUGCUUUUGCAGGACGUGGAAACACCAUGUGCUCCUGCUUAUGCGUGCCUGCCAGAGGAAACAAACUCUAUUUUUAGUGAUGUGUGAUUACUAUCUAAUAGUUAAAACUUUCAACAACGGAUCUCUUGGUUCUG